rnacentral:lncRNA from 1 species
CCCCUCCUCUCUUUUCCUCCCUUCUCCCUCACUCCAUUUUCGCCGAUGUUUCGAGUGAAACAUCCAAACCACACCAAUUGAACAUCGGUACUGUUUGGCAUGCGGUUUAGGGCGGUUCAGCGAACCAUGGUUACGAUACAAUACUUAAUGAUCAUAUAGAGAUUGGGAUGAUGGGGGAUUAAAUUGCAAGACAUAGCCUAUGACCAACUAGAUUCAUCCUAUUCUCCAAGAGAUUCAAUAAUGCGAUAUGGGCUGCAUAUCUCUAUGCUAGACCAUGUAGCUAAUACGUAACUAGCAAACCAAAAAGGGACUUUGGUAAGUAGGAAUUUGAAUUCAUCAAUCCCAAUAAUGCAUCUAAGAUGUACCAUUUGUCUCCAAGUCAAUAGGAAUAAGAUUCUUGUUGAUUAUUCUCUCACUGACUGGAUCAAAAAAGAUUCAAAUUGCAUUAGAGAAGACAUUAGGCUAGAGAAAUAAUCCAGAUAUAGGGAUUAAGCUAGGUCGAGUCUAGUAAUAUUGGACUUUAAAUCAACCUUAGGCCACUUGGAUAGGAUACAAAUGGAGAUGACCAACCGAAAAAUGUGAUCGCUACCUCCGCUAAUUAUAGCACCCCUAGGUGGC